rnacentral:tRNA from 1 species
GUCCUGAUAGCUUACCUAAAGCAUUGACCUUGUAAGCCAAAGAUUGUAGCCUCAUCCCUACUCAGGACU